ACGCUGGCGGCGUGCUUAACACAUGCAAGUCGAACGAAAAUACCAAGCUUGCUUGGUUGAUUAGUGGCGAACGGGUGAGUAACACGUGAGUAACCUGCCCCUUACUUUCCUGGAUAACUGCUCGAAAGGGUAGCUAAUACGGGAUAUUCUGACCAUCCUGCAUGGGUUGGUUUGGAAAGGUUGUUUUUCUGGUAAGGGAUGGGCUCGCGGCCUAUCAGCUUGUUGGUGGGGUGAUGGCCUACCAAGGCUUUGACGGGUAGCCGGCCUGAGAGGGUGGACGGUCACACUGGGACUGAGAUACGGCCCAGACUCCUACGGGAGGCAGCAGUUGGGAAUAUUGCACAAUGGGCGCAAGCCUGAUGCAGCGACGCCGCGUGAGGGAUGAAGGCCUUCGGGUUGUAAACCUCUUUCGUCAGGGAACAAGGCACUGCUUUUUUGGUGGUGUUGAGGGUACCUGGAUAAGAAGCGCCGGCUAACUACGUGCCAGCAGCCGCGGUAAUACGUAGGGCGCAAGCGUUGUCCGGAAUUAUUGGGCGUAAAGAGCUCGUAGGCGGCUGGUCGCGUCUGUCGUGAAAACUUCCGGCUCAACCGGGGGCUUGCGGUGGGUACGGGCCGGCUAGAGUGCGGUAGGGGUAACUGGAACUCCUGGUGUAGCGGUGGAAUGCGCAGAUAUCAGGAAGAACACCGAUGGCGAAGGCAGGUUACUGGGCCGUUACUGACGCUGAGGAGCGAAAGCAUGGGGAGCGAACAGGAUUAGAUACCCUGGUAGUCCACGCUGUAAACGUUGGGCACUAGGUGUGAGGGCUCCUUUCCGGGGGUUUUGCGCCGUAGCUAACGCAUUAAGUGCCCCGCCUGGGGAGUACGGCCGCAAGGCUAAAAGUCAAAGGAAUUGACGGGGGCCCGCACAAGCGGCG
rnacentral:rRNA from 1 species